rnacentral:rRNA from 1 species
CACGCUGUAAACGAUCAAUACUAGGUGUGCGGGGACUGACCCCCUGCGUGCCGCAGUUAACACAAUAAGUAUUGCACCUGGGGAGUACGAUCGCAAGGUUGAAACUCAAAGGAAUUGACGGGGGCCCGCACAAGCGGUGGAUUAUGUGGUUUAAUUCGACGCUACGCGAAGAACCUUACCAGGACUUGACAUGGAAUUUAAAACUCUAGAGAUAGAGCCAUAACAAGUUCACACAGGUGG